UACGUAGGGGGCAAGCGUUGUCCGGAUUUAUUGGGCGUAAAGAGCGUGUAGGCGGCCAGGUAGGUCAGCUGUGAAAACUCGAGGCUCAACCUCGAGACGUCGGUUGAAACCACCUGGCUAGAGUCCGGAAGAGGCGAGUGGAAUUCCUGGUGUAGCGGUGAAAUGCGCAGAUAUCAGGAGGAACACCAAUUGCGAAGGCAGCUCGCUGGGACGUUACUGACGCUGAGACGCGAAAGCGUGGGGAGCAAACAGG
rnacentral:rRNA from 1 species